rnacentral:rRNA from 1 species
AUGGAGGUCAUUCUCUCGAGAAGCAUUCUUGGGAAGAACUAUGAAGAACUUGGUCUUGAGUAUGAUGAAGAUGUCGAUGUGAACUUCCAACCGUACAGUGAAAUGAUGGCGAGUCUUAACAAAAGGAGAGAAGUUUCUCGCUGA